UACGGAGGGUGCGAGCGUUGUCCGGAAUCACUGGGCGUAAAGGGCGCGUAGGUGGCCUGUGGAAGUCUGCGGUGAAAGCCCGGCGCUCAACGCCGGGUCGGCCGUGGAUACUCUCGGGCUCGAGCUUACUAGAGGCAGAUGGAAUUCCGGGUGUAGCGGUGGAAUGCGUAGAGAUCCGGAAGAACACCGGUGGCGAAGGCGGGUCUCUGGGCCGAUACUGACACUGAGGAGCGAAAGCGUGGGGAGCGAACAGG
rnacentral:rRNA from 1 species